AUUGAACGCUGGCGGCAGGCCUAACACAUGCAAGUCGAGCGAGAGGCGGACGGGUGAGUACUGUAUGGGGACCUGCCCGGUAGAGGGGGAUAACUACUGGAUACCGUACCUAAUACCGCAAACUAUCGGAUGAACCAAUAUGGGAUUAGCUAGUAGGUGAGGUAAUGGCUCACCUUGGCGACGAUCCCUAGCUGGUCUGAGAGGAUGAGCAGCCACACUGGGACUGAGACACGGCCCAGACCCCUACGGGAGGCAGCAGUGGGGAAUAUUGCACAAUGGGCGCAAGCCUGAUGCAGCCAUGCCGCGUGUAUGAUGAAGGCCUUCGGGUUGUAAAGUACUUUUGGCAGAGAAGCGGUAUCUGCAGAAUAAGCACCGGCUAACUACGUGCCAGCAGCCGCGGUAAUUC
rnacentral:rRNA from 1 species